CAAACAUUACCCAUGAAAUUCAAAGCCUAGUAGAAAGGUGAACCAAGACUCAACUCAAGAACAAAGUGAGUUGAGAGAUUUUAUACCUUCGUUGAUUCCUCUUUGCAUAAGCAAAGGCUAAUCACCGAAGGAGAGGGCCUUCAUUCCUUGCUUCUUAGAUCCAUGGAUUUCUUGGAUUAGGAUGGUUGAAAAGAUUCUCCAAGUUCCCAAAAUUGAGAACCUCUAAUUUUUCCACACCAAGGAGGGACUUAAAGAAGAGAUGAGUGACCUUGGAGGAUGAGAGAUUGCUAGCUAAUCUUCUCCAAGGGGGCCGGCCUCUUAGAGAGAAAGGGAGAGACAUUGUGUUCUCAUCUUUUCUCUAAAAGAAAGCCUAAUGAAGAAAAGGCUAUAAAGUCAUGUUUAUACCUAUCUUUAUUGGAGUGGCAAACUUGUAAUAAGUCCAAAACCCACUCCUUUAACAAUAUGGGCGGCCAUAGGGUGUUAUUGGGCUGUUUGGGCCUUUGUGAAUAUUUAGUCAUUAAGUUGUCAUACAACUUAAGUCAAUGGGCUUGACGUUCGAAGCUCAUUGGGCCUUGAGGCCCAAAACUAACCCGAGGUCUUUAACGAACUUUAUUUGUUUGAUUAAUUAACAUAUUAAUUAAUCCUUGCCAUAAAUAAUUAAACCAUUUAAUUAUCCUUACUCAUCUCUAUUGUUUCUUCAAUCUUUACCUUACACGGCGUACGAUCCAUUAGGUUCCUUUUAGCGAGGCCGUGGGCGAUUAGAACUCUUUCAAAUCAAUUGUGAAUUGAAACUUACUUUCACUUCUCCCUUUAGUGUUUAUACAUGUUUAGGGCUUCCACAAACCAUGAGUGACACCUAGCAGUAUGUCAUGGUUACCCCCCAAGCUAAUCAGAAGAGGUGGAGAACCUAUUCAGUUUAGGAUUACAAUGCAAUACGGUCUUUCUCUAAUACAAUGCUCUUGACCACAUUGUUUGGUUUGAUAGUUUAUUCAUGUCUACUAUCCAAUGUGAUUCAUUUAC
rnacentral:lncRNA from 1 species